AAGUGGGUCCCUGUGCUCUGACGCAAGUCCUAUGCUUCAAGCGGCUGUGAGAUCCUCCAGCGGUCAGUCCAGCCUGCUCCGUUCCGUAGCAACCAUGCCCAUCAACGCGGAGACGGUCAACCUGGCCGCCACCUACAUGAUCCUCGUCAUCCUCCUCUUCUUCCUGUGGCUACUCUACUCCACUGUCUUCUAGACUAUGUCAUCCAGGAACAACUGACACUUGAUACACAUUCAAGAUGGCGGCCAUCAAACGCUAUAAAGUUUAAUAUUUAGGAAACCGUAAUUUUAGUUGUUAAGCUAUUUGUAAGUUAAGCAAUGUACACCCAAGCAUUUAAAUAUGAUAAGAUCAUGGAACAACAUGGCGACCAGAGGCACAUGCGGACGACAUUACAGAACUCAUACCACCCAUCGAGUUAAUCAGUGCUGGGCAUUCCAAUAUAAAUAAAGUCUAAACUAAAAAUAUGUGAAAGACAACAUUUUUAUGGCAAGUAAUUAAUAUCAAGGCAAUUAAUGAGUUAACUAAUUAUUGUUGAUGUUCGGUGCAAAUCAUGUCGUUAAAGAUUUUAAGUUGUUAUGAACUAAGAGAGUUUUUGUAAUAAAGGCUUUUUUUAGA